GAUGAACGCUAGCGGGAGGCCUAACACAUGCAAGCCGAGCGGUAGAGUUUCUUCGGAAACUUGAGAGCGGCGCACGGGUGCGUAACACGUGUGCAACCUACCUUUAUCUGGGGGAUAGCCUUUCGAAAGGAAGAUUAAUACCCCAUAAUAUAAUGAUUGGCAUCAAUUAUUAUUGAAAACUCCGGUGGAUAGAGAUGGGCACGCGCAAGAUUAGAUAGUUGGUGAGGUAACGGCUCACCAAGUCAAUGAUCUUUAGGGGUCCUGAGAGGGAGAUCCCCCACACUGGUACUGGGACACGGACCAGACUCCUACGGGCGGCAGCCGUGCGGAAUAUUGGACAAUGGGUGAGAGCCUGAUCCAGCCAUCCCGCGUGAAGGAUGACGGUCCUAUGGAUUGUAAACUUCUUUUGUACAGGGAUAAACCUACCCUCGGGAGGGUAGCUGACGGUACUGUACGAAUAAGCACCGGCUAACUCCGUG
rnacentral:rRNA from 1 species